CGCGUAGGCGGUUGAUUAAGUCGGAUGUGAAAGCCCUGGGCUUAACCUGGGAACUGCAUUCGAUACUGGUCGACUAGAGUACGAGAGAGGGAGGUAGAAUUCCACAUGUAGCGGUGAAAUGCGUAGAUAUGUGGAGGAAUACCGGUGGCGAAGGCGGCCUCCUGGCUUGAUACUGACGCUGAGGUGCGAAAGCGUGGGGAGCAAACA
rnacentral:rRNA from 1 species